rnacentral:tRNA from 1 species
GCACCGCUAGCUCAACGGUAGAGCAGGAGCCUCUUAAGCUCUUGGUUGAAGGUUCGAAUCCUUCGCGGUGCACCA